rnacentral:rRNA from 1 species
CAACCUGAGAGUUUGAUCCUGGCUCAGAGCGAACGCUGGCGGCAGGCCUAACACAUGCAAGUCGAACGGACCCUUCGGGGUUAGUGGCGGACGGGUGAGUAACACGUGGGAA